CAGGGAGCUUGCUCCUGGGUGCCGAGCGGCGGACGGGUGAGUAAUGUCUGGNACACCUGCCUGAUGGAGGGGGAUACCUCCUGGAAACGGUAGCUAAUACCGCAUAACGUCUUCGGACCAAAGUGGGGGACCUUCGGGCCUCAUGCCAUCAGAUGUGCCCAGAUGGGAUUAGCUAGUAGGUGGGGUACCGGCUCACCUAGGCGCCGAUCCCUAGCUGGUCUGAGAGGAUGNCCAGCCACACUGGANCUGAGACACGGUCCAGACUCCUACGGGAGGCAGCAGUGGGGAAUAUUGCACAAUGGGCGCAAGCCUGAUGCAGCCAUGCCGCGUGUAUGAAGAAGGCCUUCGGGUUGUAAAGUACUUUCAGCNAGGAGGAAGCCCUUGAGGUUUGAUCCNGUCCCCCCCCCUAAAUCUCC
rnacentral:rRNA from 1 species